rnacentral:rRNA from 1 species
UACGUAGGGCGCGAGCGUUGUCCGGAAUUAUUGGGCGUAAAGAGCUCGUAGGCGGCCUGUCGCGUCCGCUGUGAAAACCCGGGGCUCAACCCCGGGCUUGCAGUGGAUACGGGCAGGCUAGAGGCAGGCAGGGGAGAACGGAAUUCCCGGUGUAGCGGUGAAAUGCGCAGAUAUCAGGAGGAACACCGGUGGCGAAGGCGGGUCUCUGGGCCGAUAUUGACGCUGAGGAGCGAAAGCGUGGGGAGCGAACAGG